GCCUUUCCCUAUCCACAGGGGCUGUUCCAUGAUGGGGUCAAGAUUUGGGUCACCCACCCGUGGUCCGGGGAGAAGUGACUCGCCCAAGGUCACAAGGCCACCACCAAUAGAGCCAGAAUGAGGUUCCAGGUGGCUUGACUUGGCAGCCAGCGCCUUUGCCUAUGGCACCCCCUCACCCCAGCUGUCUGGGUUAUUUUGGGCUUCCUCCCAUGCCAGCUGUCUGCUGGCAUCCCUGCCCAGGACUGUCUGGUUGGAAGUAACCGGCGUGGUGCUGUUGGCUCCUUCUGUGAGGGCCAGGGCUGGGUCUUCAAUCCCCUAUGAGCUGUGCUGGGUCCAGCUCCUUUGCUGGGAGGGAAGAGUGUUCCUGCCCAGACUCCCUGCCGCCCAAGUACAGCAAGAGGGCGAAAGCACCUGAUAAAAAUUGAGGUUCACAUUGUUAAUAUCCCAAAAGCCUCUUCUUCUAUACACCCUGAAACCUGUUUUAAAUUUGGCUCUGCCAUUGAACCCCCUUGCUCUCACGUGACCCUUUGCCACCCGAGGGUGUGGCGCCUCCCUUUAGAGUCCUCGUUGCUCUCCGGGUGGGGUCUUUACUCCCCACCUGCUUUGGAUAAUUAAGUAAUUGAUGUACGUCUCCCUCCCAGCUGCACCCUGGAGGGCUCCAGCAGUUUCUCCCCUCCCUGGAUCCUAUCAGGGAGCUGUUGGGUGCUCAGCUGUGGUCUGGAUGUGGUUCUCAGCGCAGUGUCGGGACCCCCUGGCUGGACUGUACCCCUCUCUCUCUGCUUUGGUCCCUCUUCUUUCUUUGUCCCCCUAUCAUCACCUCUUGGGGCAGGGAGGGUGGGGCAGUUUGUCCUCCUGCUGAUGUUCCUGCUGGUCCCUCGAGGGCGCCCCGCCCACCGGUCACCCAGCGAGCGCGGGGCGGGGCCGCUGCUGGCGCCGGGCUCCGGGGCUUGCAGAGAGAGGGCCACGCCAGCGGAAGGGCCGGCCAGGAGGUGGCAGGACUUGCCUUACUACUGAGUCGCCGGCGUCCCCGCCUCUUCCGGCUCCUCCGCCCGGAGCCCUAGCGUGGAACAUGACCUUUCGGACCCUCUGGGUGGAGACAGCCUCUGCCUGGGCUGUGCAGUGAGGCAGCCCCACCAUGUCAGGUCGUUUGGCCCAGUGCGUCUCUAGCUGGCAUGUGACUUCCAGCAAGCUCCUGCCCCUGAGCGCUGGGAGGAGCAGGUCCGGCAAUAAUUUUUUUUAAGACAGAGUUUCGCUCUUGUUGCCCAGGCAAUGGUGCGAUCUGGGCUCACCGCAACCUCCGCCUCCAGGGUUCAAGUGAUUAUCCUGCCUCAGCCUCCGAGUAGCUGGGAUUACAGGCAUACGCCACCACGCCCAGAUAAUUUUGUAUUUUUAGUAGAGACAGGGUUUCACCAUGUUGGGCAGGCUGGUCUCGAACUGACCUCAGGUGAUCCGCCUACCUCGGCCUUCCAAAGUGCUGGGAUUACAGGCGUGAGCCACUGCGCCCGGCCGGACAAUAAUGUUUUGAGCUGUUGCUGAGUCUGGCUUUUGUGAGGGGAACUUUUAGCACUCAAGGAGUGGCCUUGUCUCUGGCCCGUCCCGGAGUGCUCAUGGGCAGCCAAGGCCUGGGGACUGCUCAGGCAGGGUAGAUGUAUUUGCCAGGCCAGCUCCCGUCCCUGGGACCUCAGGGAGUAGCUUCAUCCCUGAAGGCUCAGUGUUUUCUGCCUCAUGUGGCCCCUCUGCAGGGUUCUCAGUCAUCCAGGGAAGUGGGUGCCACAGCGUUGCCUCCAGCCUCACUGGGGCUGGCUGGACUUUGCUCUGACAACACAGCAGUGGCUGGGCCCCUGCAGCUCUCCAGGGCUCAGUUUCCCUGUUGGCUGCACUAUGGCAUAGGCCCCCAUGUGGACAACGAUGAGCUGACCCCAGAAAUACCACCCGGCCGCUCCCCUAGGCUUCAGUGGCCUAACAGCUCUUGUGUCAAGAACCAGCUUAAAGAAUCUUUCUUGCUUUCUCAAACUUUCCAGGAAUUCCUGGUGACUGGAAGGGGAGUGACUCGGGUCCUCAAUCUUUUGCAGGUAAGGGAGCUGCCUCCUGGGCGGGCAUGCCCAGUUCCUCAGUAGGCCCAGCGUGGCCCAGCCUCCGAGGAAGCUCUGAGCAGCUGGCUUGGCUCUGAGGUAUUUUUAGCUACAGAUCCAGCUCCCCACCAUCACCACAACAGUCGAGUCCAAAUCAAACGCACUCCAGGCAGGUGGGGCUGGGGUUCUGCCAGCCUCCUGGCCAGCAGGGGUGGGUGGGCAGACUGGGGCCAGUAUCAGCUGUUCUGCCUGGACCCAGGCGGGGCUGGGAAGGCACACUUGUGCUCAUUUCCUGCCUCCACUUCUGUGCAAGCUUGUGCUGUCAUAAGCAGAGAUCACAGCCCCGUUUCUUGGAUGGAGAAAGUGGACAUUGAGGUCUGAGGCUUUUGAGGACAGUCAGGAGCGCUCCUAUGGGCUCCAGUGAUGCACUCACCAGCUUCUGGUCCUCUUCUUCCACCUCUUAGAGUGCCUUGGCUCCCUCCUGUGGUCCUGGGGAACCUCGGCCCCAGCCCUGCCUCCCCAGCCACCCUGAGGGAGCUCAGGGCCUGGCUGGUGGCUGGGCUCCUCUCCUGUCCCCCACUCCUGUGGAGCCUGGCAGGCACCUCCGUGAUCUGACCCCGGUUACCUUGAUAGCCCUGCCUGGCCUCCCCUUAUGGGCCAGCCACCCCAGAACCUGAAGAGGUUUUCUAGCUGCCGUGCAUUUGCCAGGCUGGGUUACCCACCCUACUUUCCCUGCCUGCCCUCCAGUGCUGCCAAGCCCAGUGUGCCAGCCAGCGCUCAGCUUUCCAUAAAGGGUUCUCCUGUUUCCAACCUCCAUUGCACUGCUUCCCCCAAGACUGACCUCCUGGAAGGCUGGAGCACAACUGCCUCUCAAUAAACGUGUUGCAAAAAAGGAA